rnacentral:rRNA from 1 species
AGUAGUACGGAAUAGCCAUUAGAAAUGGUGGGUAAUACUGUAUAAUCCCCGAGGGGGAAAGAUUUAUCGCUAUUAGAUGAGCCUACGUUAGAUUAGCUAGUUGGUGAGGUAAUGGCUUACCAAGGCUAUGAUCUAUAGCUGGUCUGAGAGGACGAUCAGCCACACUGGAACUGAGAUACGGUCCAGACUCCUACGGGAGGCAGCAGUGGGGAAUAUUGGACAAUGGGCGAAAGCCUGAUCCAGCUAUGCCGCGUGAGUGAAGAAGGCCUUCGGGUUGUAAAACUCUUUCAAUAGGGAAGAUAAUGACGGUUACCUAUAAAUAUAGGUACCGUCAUUAUCUUCCCUAU